UUUAACUAUUUUUGUCAUUUCUACCUAUAUUUCUUUAUAUACACAUAGACACAAACAUUUUGUUGGUACCUUUUGUAAAAGAAAGACAUUUACAUUUAGAAAUCAUGACUUUCUCUACUACUAAAUUCUACACUGUUUUCAUGUUCCUAUAUCUUGCCCUUGUCCUCAUAUUCCCAUGUGUUGUGGAAGCAAAAUUUUGUGGAAUGCCAAGUACAACAUUUUCAGGGCCUUGUGAUAACACAGAGUUCUGUAAUGCACAUUGUGUCAACUUGGAGUAUUCAACAUACGGUGUUUGCUUCCCUAAUGGCGGUUUAGAUUGUUUCUGCUACGUCAAUUGUUGAUCACUAAGUUUAUGAUCAAGCAAUUGCUGAUAAAUGUGUUUUACACUAUGAAGUGCAAAGUAGUAAAUUUUUAUUGAAUGUUCGUGUAUUAAACUGAUUUACACCUUAUAGAUCUUCCGAUAUUUGUAUACUCA